rnacentral:rRNA from 1 species
CCAACAGGGAUUGCCUCAGUAACGGCGAGUGAAGCGGCAACAGCUCAAAUUUGAAAUCUGGCCCCAGGCCCGAGUUGUAAUUUGCAGAGGAUGUUUCUGGCGCGGUGCCUUCCAAGUCCCCUGGAACGGGGCGCCAUAGAGGGUGAGAGCCCCGUCUGGUUGGCCGCCAAGCCUGUGUGAAACUCCUUCGACGAGUCGAGUAGUUUGGGAAUGCUGCUCUAAAUGGGAGGUAGACCCCUUCUAAAGCUAAAUACCGGCCAGAGACCGAUAGCGCACAAGUAGAGUGAUCGAAAGAUGAAAAGCACUUUGAAAAGAGGGUUAAACAGUACGUGAAAUUGUUGAAAGGGAAGCGCUUGUGACCAGACGUGUGCCGGGGUGUUCAGCGGGCGUUCUCGCCCGUGCACUCGCCCCGGCGCAGGCCAGCGUCGGUUCGGGUGGGGGGACAAAGGCGUUGGGCACGUAGCUCCUCCGGGAGUGUUAUAGCCCAGCGUGCCAUGCCCCCGCCUGGACCGAGGUUCGCGCUCCGCAAGGACGCUGGCGUAAUGGUCCCCAGCGGCCCGUCUUGAAACACGGACCAAGGAGUCGAGGUUUUGCGCGAGUGUUUGGGUGUCAAACCCGCACGCGUAAUGAAAGUGAACGCAGGUGGGAGCUUCGGCGCACCACCGACCGAUCCUGAUGUUCUCGGAUGGAUUUGAGUAAGAGCGUAGGGCCUCGGACCCGAAAGAUGGUGAACUAUACGUGAAUAGGGUGAAGCCAGAGGAAACUCUGGUGGAGGCUCGCAGCGGUUCUGACGUGCAAAUCGAUCGUCAAAUUUGCGUAUGGGGGCGAAAGACUAAUCGAACCAU